rnacentral:rRNA from 2 species
UAAUACGAAGGGGGCUAGCGUUGUUCGGAUUUACUGGGCGUAAAGCGCGUGUAGGCGGGUCGUUAAGUUGGGGGUGAAAUCCCGAGGCUCAACCUCGGAACUGCCUUCAAAACUGGCGACCUGGACUCAAGUAGAGGCAAGUGGAAUUGCGAGUGUAGAGGUGAAAUUCGUAGAUAUUCGCAGGAACACCAGUGGCGAAGGCGACUUGCUGGACUUGUAGUGACGCUGAGACGCGAAAGCGUGGGGAGCAAACAGG